CCUAGGUGUUGACUCCGGGGGGAACGUGCUGCCUUCCCCAGGUGUUGAGCUCGUACUGCCCCUGGGCAUUGCCGUGCCCUGUGUGCUGCUUGUGAUUGUGCUUGGAGUUCUCCUGGGGAGAAAAGCAGUGUCUGCCCUCCGGACUCAGAG